rnacentral:rRNA from 1 species
CCCUUAGAUGUUCUGGGCCGCACGCGUGCUACACUGAGUGGAUCAGCGGGUCAGGUUGCGCGAAAGUGUUUCCUAAUCUUGAAAUCCGCUCGUGAUGGGGAUUGACGGUUGCAAUUUUCCGUCAUGAACGAGGAAUACCUUGUAAGCGCGGGUCAUCAUCCCGCGCUGAAUACGUCCCUGCCCUUUGUACACACCGCCCGUCGCUCCUACCGAUUGAGUGAUCCGGUGAGGCUUUGGGAUCUGAGCAAAAAGAGCGUUUCGCUCGUUUGGCUCGGAAAACUCAGUCGAACCUUAUCAUUUAGAGGAAGGAGAAGUCGUAACA